CUUUAGUAAAAGUCUGCAAGCAAAGAAAAGAAUAACUCCCUUUUUGGGUAUAUACAAAAAAAAAAAAAAACCACUCCUGACCUAGUGACCCCCAACAGCUAACCCUGGUUGCCUUUUUUGGCGCAAUGCAGGCCCCGCUUGGCACAUUUCCUGCCAACUUGACUACCUCCUUUGCUCACGUGGUGCGGGGCAGGAAAAGAAGCGGCAGCUGAAGACGGAGCCCUCCCAACGAUCCGAUCGACUCGAACCUUCCUCACUGGAACCAAACCAGAGGCUGCGGGAUGUCGUUCGAUAAAGACAUUCGAGACAUCAUGAAGAUGAUGGGAAUGAGCAGCAGGAUGACCCCGGUGAAAGACGUUUACGAGGCCAGAAACACCGACCUGCUCAGUGUGGUGAGAAUCAAGAAGAAAACGUGGAAGAGCUUCUUCGGGAAAAUGUGGGCCUCCAACAUGAAGGAGGAUUACAGUGUCACGCAGUAUAAGCUGAAAGCACUUCUGCAGGACGGGGAUGCGGUUGACUUCGGCAGUGUAGCACACGAUGAUUUUGUCGAAAUCUCCCACGAGACUAAUCUCAGCGUUGAUUUGGAUGUCGGCGGCACGAUGUCGAAUGGCAUCGUGGAUGCGGGGGUGCAGAUUGGGGUGGACGUAAAGCGCUCAACAUCAAAUUUCAAACUGCAGCUGAAGUCCCAAAAGCUGCAUGAAAUUUUUGAUGGACUCGAGAGCAGGGGAAAGAAUGAGAAGCUAAUUCAGAGGCUGAGGGGUAGUUCCAGUGUGAGUCUGGGCUUUGUUUAUGAGGUCCUCAGAUCUCCUGGACCUCUCAGCCUUCACGCCAGUAUCAGGGGGGAAGGUAGCCUGCGGCUGAAACUCGCACACGUCUCCAAGGUGGAGGCCUCUGCCAGUGAAAUGGUGGACCAGAAGGUGACGUUGCCUUGCAACUCCACGGUGGCCUUCGCGGUGUUUCCACUUGACUUUGCAGAUUCCCGGAGCGGAACAGAAGAGAGAAGCCUCGUUUUGGGCUCCGAUGGUUAUGCUGACUGGGAGCUAACUGGCAACUUCAAGGUCACACAGGAGAAGUUGGAAGCAGAGUUCAGGGUCUUUGGAGAUUUGAGUGCUCCUGUGAAGAAGCAUGUCGGAGAGCUCAUGUUAAGGAUACUGUCUGGUCCUCAGACCCUGCAUCCUCUGGACUGGAUGCUGGAGGAAGGCUGUGUAGAUGAAGACAAUCUCAGCAGGGUGACAGAGGAGCUCCAGCCCACCGUCAAGGAGCUCAUGGCUGUCAUCGGACUUUUCCCUGCUGGGUCUGCAAAGGCCAAUGACCUCCUCAGACCUCUCAGUCUGCUGGUCGGUGCUUUGGCAGACCUGGAUGAGGAGGCUGUGGCCAUGAUCGGGGCUCUCGAGCCCAACGUCUUACAAGAGCUGUUUCGCCUGAUUGAGGGCGUGAUGGAGAAGGCGUGCAGUGGGGAAGCGGCAGCCCCGUCGCAGUGGAGGAACCAGUACUCCGAUGGCACGUGCAGGGUGGCUGAGGAGGUGCUGAAGGCAUCUGAGGUGGUUCUGGACAAGGACCAGCUGGACCCCAAAGGGGAAGAAAAUUACUCUUGAAGAGAAACUCAAGAUAAAUGCCCAGUGUGGAGGAAACAAGCCCGUAAUGGCCAUCGCACGUGAACUUGGACUUGUGCAAUCGACGAUCUUGAUCAUCUUAAAGGAUAAGAAGCGAUUAUGUUUGGUAGGUUAGGUCUAUUAAAUGCAUUUUCGACUUGCGUUACGUUCCGAUAAACCCAUCGCGUCAUAAGUCGGGGACCGUCUGUAUAACCAAAGACUUGAAAAUCACUUUUGAAAAUAGACUCUAAAUCCUCUUGUGUUUGACCGUCUACGACUAUUUUAAUAGCCUGGAAUCACAAAUUUCUUGGUUUUUGUCUCUGUCCACCUUUUCCAUGUAGUAAUGGUCACGCUUCCUGUCCACAUUUGUCAGCGUUUUCCAUUUUUAUUCUGUGCUUCAUAAUUUUGCACUUUGUUUAUAUUGUUCUCCCUCUAGUUGUUUAUGAUUUUUUUUUUUUUUUUUUUCCUGUUCCCCCUGUUGAUUAAAGCAGCUGUAUGGUACAUUUUUAUGUAAAUACAGUCAGUGUCAUAUUCUUUCGGUUAACUGCUCCUUGUCCCAAACCUGUCCCGACCCAAACACUGCUUCUCACCUUGGUGCACUGAAGACGGAAUUCCGCCUUUAUAGCAUUUUUAAUUUGCUAUAAUAUAAUUUAACAAUAAUCUUUAUAGUUAUGUUCAGUUUGUGGUGUAUUUGUUUGGGGGGGAAAAAAAUAAUCCAGUAGUAUAUUAGGUGAGUUAUAUGUACAAUAGGGGUCACCUUUGUCCCUGAACUCCUCCAUUCACACUCCUUGUGUAAAUAUUUAAUCCUUUUUUACAGAGGGUUUGUGAUACUGCCUUUUAUCUUCUUGUUUUAAAAAAAAAAAAAAAAAAAAAAAUUUGAAAUUCCGCUUCUGUCUUUGUUACUGUUGAUCUUAUAAUUUUGGAAAAAAUUCAAAACCAUUUAAUCAGACUGGAAAAUUGUAUCCUUUGAGCUGUUAUGGUUAUGGCUGAAAUGACUUUGCAG
rnacentral:lncRNA from 1 species